rnacentral:rRNA from 1 species
GACGAACGCUGGCGGCGUGCUUAACACAUGCAAGUCGAACGGAAAGGCCCUGCUUGCAGGGUGCUCGAGUGGCGAACGGGUGAGUAACACGUGGGUGAUCUGCCCCUUACUUUGGGAUAAGCCUGGGAAACUGGGUCUAAUACUGGAUAGGACCAUGCUGUAGGUGGUGUGGUGGAAAGAUUAGUUUCGGUAAGGGAUGAGGUCGCGGCCUAUCAGCUUGUUGGUGGGGUAAUGGCCUACCAAGGCGUCGACGGGUAGCCGGCCUGAGAGGGUGGACGGCGACAUUGGGACGGAGGUACGGCCCAGACGCCUACGGGAGGCAGCAGUGGGGAAGAUUGCACAAUGGGCGGAAGCCUGAUGCAGCGACGCCGCGUGGGGGAUGACGGCCGUCGGGUUGUAAACUCCUUUCAGCCAUGACGAAGCCCUUGUGGUGACGGUAGUGGUAGAAGAAGCACCGGCUAACUACGUG